rnacentral:rRNA from 1 species
GACGAACGCUGGCGGCGUGCUUAACACAUGCAAGUCGAACGGAAAGGCCCAGCUUGCUGGGUACUCGAGUGGCGAACGGGUGAGUAACACGUGGGUGAUCUGCCCCUGACUUUGGGAUAAGCCUGGGAAACUGGGUCUAAUACCGGAUAUGACUCGAGGUUGCAUGGCUUCGGGUGGAAAGCUUUUGCGGUUGGGGAUGGGCCCGCGGCCUAUCAGCUUGUUGGUGGGGUAAUGGCCUACCAAGGCGACGACGGGUAGCCGACCUGAGAGGGUGAUCGGCCACACUGGGACUGAGACACGGCCCAGACUCCUACGGGAGGCAGCAGUGGGGAAUAUUGCACAAUGGGCGCAAGCCUGAUGCAGCGACGCCGCGUGAGGGAUGACGGCCUUCGGGUUGUAAACCUCUUUCACCAGGGACGAAGCGCAAGUGACGGUACCUGGAGAAGAAGCACCGGCCAACUACGUGCCAGCAGCCGCAGUAAAAC